rnacentral:rRNA from 1 species
AAGUCCCGCAACGAGCGCAACCCCGUACUGCCAGUUACUAACAGGUAACGCUGAGGACUCUGGCGGAACUGCCCGGUGGACAAACCGGAGGAAGUGGGGAUGACGUCAAGUCAUCAUGGCCCCUAUGUCCAGGGCUACACACGUGCUACAAUGGGCGAUACAGAGUGACGCGAAGCCGCGAGGUGGAGCAAAUCGCAGAAAAUCGCUCUCAGUUCGGAUUGGAGUCUGAAACCCGACUCCAUGAAGGUGGAAUCGCUAGUAAUCGCGCAUCAGCAUGGCGCGGUGAAUACGUUCCCGGGCCUU